GACGUAGGAGGCGAGCGUUGUCCGGAUUCAUUGGGCGUAAAGAGCGCGCAGGCGGCUUGGUAAGUCGGAUGUGAAAUCCCGAGGCUCAACCUCGGGUCUGCAUCCGAUACUGCCCGGCUAGAGGUAGGUAGGGGAGAUCGGAAUUCCUGGUGUAGCGGUGAAAUGCGCAGAUAUCAGGAGGAACACCGGUGGCGAAGGCAGGUCUCUGGGCCAUAACUGACGCUGAGAAGCGAAAGCAUGGGGAGCGAACAGG
rnacentral:rRNA from 1 species